UCUCCGUUGGUGAACCAGCGGAGGGAUCAUUGCCGAGUUUACAACUCCCAAACCCCUAUGUGAACGUUACCAAACUGUUGCCUCGGCGGGAAAUUCAUGCCCCGGGCGCGUCGCGGCCCCGGACCAAGGCGCCCGCCGGAGGACCAACCAAAACUCUUUUGUAUGUCCCUCGCGGACUUUUAUAAUUCUGAACCAUCUCGGCGCCCCUAGCGGGCGUUUCGAAAAUGAAUCAAAACUUUCAACAACGGAUCUCUUGGUUCUG
rnacentral:misc_RNA from 1 species